ACUUGGAUGUGCCCCGGGGGGCUACUGAGAGCUCUUUCUAGAUUCUAUGGGUGGUGGUGCAUGACCAUUCUUAGCUGCUAAAGCGAUUUGUCUGAUUAAUUUCGUUAAUGAAUGAGACCUCAGUCUGCUAACUAGCUAUGCCAAGGUACCCCUUCGUGGCCAGCUUCUUAGAGGGACUACGGCUUUUUAGGCCAUGGAAGUUUGAGGCAAUAACAGGUCUGUGAUGCCCUUAGAU
rnacentral:rRNA from 1 species